GCCCUUACGUCCUGGGCUACACACGUGCUACAAUGGCGGCGACAGAGGGCAGCGACCCCGCGAGGGUGAGCUAAUCUCCAAAAGCCGUCUCAGUUCGGAUUGUUCUCUGCAACUCGAGAGCAUGAAGGUGGAAUCGCUAGUAAUCGCAGAACAGCAUGCUGCGGUGAAUACGUUCCCGGGCCUUGUACACACCGCCCGUCACACCAUGGGAGUGGAUUGCACCAGAAGUGGUUAGUCUAACCUUCGGGAGGACGAUCACCACGGUGUGGUUCAUGACUGGGGUGAAGUCGAAACAAGGUAGCCGUAGGGGAACC
rnacentral:rRNA from 1 species